rnacentral:misc_RNA from 1 species
UAAAUACGUUUUCCUGGUUCACUUUUUUUUCUUUCUUCGAGCGAAACAACAUCUUUAAUUACAGCUAAUCUAUUAAAUUUCCGAUAUUUUUCAGCUCUGCAGUGCUUCCUACUCGAAUGACCCACAAAUCUUGCGUGACGUAAUCUUCUCAAUUCACUUUCAUCUUUGUUUUCUUUUUCUGAUGGUCACUCUUUUUGUUUUUCUUGGAAUUGUGUGCACGAGAUUAACGAAAAACUAACUUCAAACUCGGAAGCUUCUUAUGAUAGCCUUUUAAUUAGAAACUAUAUCAAUGGUUUUGUGUGAUAAAGUUCAACGUGUUUGUUGGAAGUAGUUUAUCGUGCCCAGAUGUGUUUUCUUCCAAUUUUGUUAUACUGAAAAUAACAUUUUAACUUUUUACUCAAAUGGUUACAGUGAUAAGUACCAUUAAGGAUGAAGGCGCUACAAUGGAUUUUAUAAUUUUUUUUCGAGAAGCUGUCUGUAACGCCGUUCCACUCCAGUACAGCCCUGUCAAUAUACCUAACAAAAAUGAAAGCUCCUGCUGAUAUAUCAAUCAGUCAAGUACUCUUCAGUAGAUUUCCAAACCCACUAAUAUUAAUAUGAAGAAAACUCCUGAUCACUUUAUGUUUGAUUGUCCAUAAACAGAUGACCAAGGCCUGUUGUAAGUCUACAUUUUGCAGUUUUCUCAGAUGGAAUUAAACAUAACAGUAUUCUUGAUGGCGUAUCAGAUAGCAGAGAAAGUUUGUGCAAAAUUACCAAAUGAAACUUUUUCGACCGAACGAAUGAUGAAAAGAAAUGUGGAACGAAAUAGAACUUCAUGAAAUUCAAGGAAAUGUUUGUAAAUAGGUAGAAAAGGAGGGUAGAACUUUUUUACUCGUAAAUUUUACAAAAUAAAAGACACGCAGCUUAUAAAUUUUUCUUUAGAAGUAGUUUUAGGAGAAAAUUAAAUUUUUUCGAAAUGAAAAAAUGGCUGAAUAUUGGAACAGAGAACAGCCUCUAGAUCUUAGAGUAAAGAAUUCAACAAAAAGAGUGAACAAACCUUAUAAUCGAGAUAAUGUGAAAUUCGAAAGUACAAGUGAAAGAAAUUGUAUUCUUGCCUCUCUUUUAAAACAGCCUUCCUCUUCAAAAUCAAAUGUAGAAUUUGUAUCAAAUUCAAGAAAUGGUUUUUUUCUGAACAAUGCUUCAAACUCAUUUGAAAACAAUUCUUCAGCAACUUUUAUUAUCCCUCGGCAACCGGAAGUUAUCCAAUCUAACUUUCCAACACAUCAUUCAUCAUCCGGCUCAAUUCAUCAAGGAAUUAUUAGCAAUAUUAAACAUGAAAUAGGUUUUAAAACAAAUGGUAUAAAGCAAGAAACUGACACAGAUGAAAUUACUAUAGUGUUUGACAGUUAUAGGGACUUAGCAAAUGGCUUGAGUAAAAAUUACAACACUCAAUCUACAACUGAAGAUGCAUCAUCAGGAUUUGUUCCGAACUAUCGCAAAUUUUAUGCUCGUUGUCAUAGCAAUAAAUCAUUCCAUUCAAGAUUAAUCAAUCAGCAAAAUCUUAAUCUUCAAACUUUCAGUCAAUCAGACUUUCCAUUUUCUAAUUUUCCUCAGCGAAAUAAUGAGCUUGGUCAUAUAAAUUCAGUACAGUACCAAAGUAGAAUUUUGAAUGCACACUUUCAAAAUCAAAAUGUUCCUUCUAUCAAAAUCGAGCAAGACAUAGAAAAGCAGGAUUCUUCUGAAAAUUAUAAACACGAGAAAGAUAAAAUUCUAAAAUGUUUAUUGACUAAUACGGUAAAUGAUAAAAUUUAUUUGUGUAAUAAUAAUUAUAUACUGCAAAAUUCUGUAUACGACAAGAAAUUGCAAUAUAGUGAUGUGUUCUUAAGAUUUAGGUAUCCUCAGUUGAAUCAAAAGCAGCAACAAUCAUGCCAUAUUUAUUACCCUGAGGCAGUAAGAACAGUUCAAAAGGAUAGCAUAUUAAAAAGCUUACUAGUUACAAAUCGUCUAAAACCAGAUAUUGCUCAAGGUUCUUCUGGUUCAUACAAUGCUGGUUCUCCUGGUAGUGAGUCUACAUCGAGUAGUAGUACAGAUUCUGGAGUAUUUAGUGACAUUUUACCUGAUGAACGUCGUCGAAUUUCAAGAGGUCCUAGUAACAGGUAUAUUAAAACAGGUACAGGUGCAAGUCUUGAAACGUUGAAAAUUCUGCGUCAAGUAAUAAUGGAGCGGCAACAAAAAACUGAUCGAGAACUUUGACAAAAAGACAAUUGAUAAACCUUUUCAAAACAUCAUACUGUUACUACAUUGUUGUGAGAGCUUAAUCUUGAAAUGUUAUUUCUAAAUUAUAGUACAAAGUACAUACACUACUAAUUUACGAAGUAAAUAUAUUUCUAAAUCAAUAUUUAAUUUUCCCUGGGCUGAAAAGAAUACUUAUGCGUGGACAGAUGUGGUUAUAAUAAACAAGCAAAUGGAAGAAAACUAAAUCCAACUGAAGAAAUCUUCCGACACCUGGUACCUUUUUUGGAUCGAAAGUUACUGUAAUGCUUGUGGAGCGUCUCAACUUGGAACAACUUGUUUCUUCGAAUUCAAGGAUCAGAACUACAGGAUCAGAACUACAGAAAACUGUACGAAGCAGCAAAUUUUAUGGAAACGAAUUAAAUGAUGUAAACAUUAUAAAGCGUCAUCACUGUGAAAUCACCUUUAAUUUAUUAACACAUAUCAAAACUGUUUUCCAAGCAACAAAGUUGUAUAACAACAAAUUUACUGUGCUCAAUCAUUUAGUGAGUUUGAAGAUUUAUGUGAGUGAGUUUGCUUAUAAAGUUAUUUUCAGCCAUAUAGCCACAUGAAGAAACAAUUAUCCAUAGAAACAAUUUGAAAAUGUGAAGUAUGAUAUGACUGCGAUAGAAUACAUUGUUUUUCCUCAUUAACUCGUACAAUGAUAGUGUUAUGAAGUAUUGUGCCAUUAAGAAUUAAAAUACGUAUUUUGUUUUAACUGCAUAAUAUUUCGUAAUUAUGUAUAUCCUAUGUAGGAUAUGAAUUUUUUGCCAGUUACUAUUUUUUUGUACAUGUCUCUCUCUCUCUCGCUCUUUCUUUCUAUCUUUUCGUUUUUUCCCCUCUGAAUCUAAAAAAUAUUUUACAGAUUAAUUACAUAUGUCUUACAAAAAUUUUCUUCUCUGUUUUUUUUUUAAAAUUUAAAUGCUCCAUUACCAAAAUUCAUAGAGAAAAAGUUUUUUGCAACUACUAAAGAUUUUUUCAGUGAGUGGGAGUAUUUCUGGAAAACAAAUGAGCUAAAAUAAAGCACGAAUCUCCUGAAUUUUUUAAAACCUGGAAUAGAAAAUUACUAAAUUAUUAAUUACUUUUAUAUUUAUUUUUGUACUUUCCUCACUUUUCUAUUCAGCCGCAAUAAGCCUAAAAAAUAUAGUUGUAUUAUUUAGCAAGUGCUAUAUUUUUUAGCUCAGAAGCAUAAGUACAUACUCUUUACAAUAAAAUGAAAAGAAAAGAAAGAUAUUGCCUGAUUCUGCCGUUUGAAUAGUAAGCGUUUUUACACACACUGUUUUAAGAAAAAGGUGAUUAACACUUAGAAUUGCAACUGCAUAUUUUAAGUUAUAAUUA